GAUGAACGCUGGCGGCGUGCCUAAUACAUGCAAGUCGAGCGAACGGACGAGAAGCUUGCUUCUCUGAUGUUAGCAGCGGACGGGUGAGUAACACGUGGAUAACCUACCUAUAAGACUGGGAUAACUUCGGGAAACCGGAGCUAAUACCGGAUAAUAUUUUGAACCGCAUGGUUCAAAAGUGAAAGACGGUCUUGCUGUCACUUAUAGAUGGAUCCGCGCUGCAUUAGCUAGUUGGUAAGGUAACGGCUUACCAAGGCAACGAUGCAUAGCCGACCUGAGAGGGUGAUCGGCCACACUGGAACUGAGACACGGUCCAGACUCCUACGGGAGGCAGCAGUAGGGAAUCUUCCGCAAUGGGCGAAAGCCUGACGGAGCAACGCCGCGUGAGUGUUGAAGGUCUUCGGAUCGUAAAACUCUGUUAUUAGGGAAGAACAUAUGUGUAAGUAACUGUGCACAUCUUGACGGUACCUAAUCAGAAAGCCACGGCUAACUACGUG
rnacentral:rRNA from 1 species